rnacentral:misc_RNA from 1 species
UUUCUCCAUUUAAAUAUUGUAUAUGAUGAUUAUUUAAUAUUUAUAUUCAUUAAGCAAAUAUAAUUCGACAAGUACAAUGGCUAAAUGGAGGCCUACAAAAUUGCAAAUGAAGCCCUUAAUUGAGCUUGUAUCUAAUGAUCAACAACUCAUCGCUGGCAAGUUAUCUUCAAAUUGUACUUACAAAAUCAUGAAAGAAAGAUGGAAACAAAUUGAUGAUGAAUUAAAUGCGUUACCCGGUGCAGAAAAAAGUUCUGAUAAAUGGAAAAAGUUUGAAACCGAUGACGCCACAGGAAUCGCUUUCGCAUUACUACCGCUGAUUACCUAUAAUACAUAUGUAUAUAUAUAUAUCUGUUAACCAUCAUAUUGUAUGACAUUGGGUGGACGAGUAUAUUUGCAUAUUUUAAACAAGUACAACAAUUCAACAAACAGAAAUACAUCAAAAUCAUUACGUACCAUUAUG